rnacentral:rRNA from 1 species
CGGCGUGCCUAAUACAUGCAAGUCGAACGCACUUCUCGUUUAGAUUGAAGGAGCUUGCUCCUGAUUGAUAAACAUUGAGUGAGUGGCGGACGGGUGAGUAACACGUGGGUAACCUGCCCUAAAGUGGGGGAUAACAUUUGGAAACAGAUGCUAAUACCGCAUAAAACCUAACACCGCAUGGUGUAGGGUUGAAAGAUGGUUUCGGCUAUCACUUUAGGAUGGACCCGCGGUGCAUUAGUUAGUUGGUGAGGUAAAGGCUCACCAAGACCGUGAUGCAUAGCCGACCUGAGAGGGUAAUCGGCCACACUGGGACUGAGACACGGCCCAGACUCCUACGGGAGGCAGCAGUAGGGAAUCUUCCACAAUGGACGAAAGUCUGAUGGAGCAACGCCGCGUGAGUGAAGAAGGUUUUCGGAUCGUAAAACUCUGUUGUUGGAGAAGAAUGUAUCUGAUAGUAACUGAUCAGGUAGUGACGGUAUCCAACCAGAAAGCCACGGCUAACUACGUG